rnacentral:snRNA from 1 species
AUGCUUUCAGUUAGCAGCACAUAUUCUAAAACUGAAAUGAUAUAGGGAGGAUUAGCAUGACCUCUGUCCAAGAACGACAGGUAGAUUUGUGAAGCAUUCCAGAUUUUA